rnacentral:rRNA from 1 species
AACGAACGCUGGCGGCAUGCCUAACACAUGCAAGUCGAACGAGACCUUCGGGUCUAGUGGCGCGCGGGUGCGUAACGCGUGGGAACCUGCCCUUAGGUUCGGAAUAACUCCCCGAAAGGGGUGCUAAUACCGGAUAAUGUCUUCGGACCAAAGAUUUAUCGCCUUUGGAUGGGCCCGCGUUGGAUUAGCUAGUUGGUAGGGUAAAAGCCUACCAAGGCGACGAUCCAUAGCUGGUCUGAGAGGAUGAUCAGCCACACUGGGACUGAGACACGGCCCAGACUCCUCCGGGAGGCGGCAGGGGGGGAUAGUGGAAAGUGGGGGAAGGCCUGAAGGAGCAAGGCCGGGUGAGUGAUGAAGGCCGUGGGGUUGAAAAGCUUUUUUACCCGGGAUGAUAAUGACGGUACCGGGAGAAUAAGCCCCGGCUAACUCCGUG